CUACAGAAAUCGUUUAAAAGCAUCGUUUAUUGCAGAAACGGCAUGCUUAUCAUUUUCCCAGACGGCAAGAUCGCAUCUACCAUAAAGGCAAUAUUGUCGAUAUGAAGUCGUACAUCGCAAUUGUGCUAAUAGUUUUAGUGGUAGCAAUGAUGGAGUUAAUCAGUGCACGGCCUCAGCCGGCGGAUCAUACUCGUGGCAAUUACUAUCCGGCUAUUGGCGUAUACUAUCCAGGUAUACCAUGGUUUGGCAAAUGACCA